rnacentral:rRNA from 1 species
AGUGAACGCUGGCGGUAGGCCUAACACAUGCAAGUCGAACGGCAGCACAGUAAGAGCUUGCCCUUACGGGUGGCGAGUGGCGGACGGGUGAGGAAUACAUCGGAAUCUACUUUUUCGUGGGGGAUAACGUAGGGAAACUUACGCUAAUACCGCAUACGACCUACGGGUUAAAGCAGGGGAUCUUCGGACCUUGCGCGAUUGAAUGAGCCGAUGUCGGAUUAGCUAGUUGGCGGGGUAAAGGCCCACCAAGGCGACGAUCCGUAGCUGGUCUGAGAGGAUGAUCAGCCACACUGGAACUGAGACACGGUCCAGACUCCUACGGGAGGCAGCAGUGGGGAAUAUUGGACAAUGGGCGCAAGCCUGAUCCAGCCAUACCGCGUGGGUGAAGAAGGCCUUCGGGUUGUAAAGCCCUUUUGUUGGGAAAGAAAAGCAGCAGGUUAAUACCCCGCUGUUCUGACGGUACCCAAAGAAUAAGCACCGGCUAACUUCGUG